rnacentral:lncRNA from 1 species
GCCGGCGCUGAGCGCGGGAAGCGGUUUCCUGUUCUACUGGCGGGAGUCAUCCUCCUCUGGCGCGGUUUCGCGGUCUUCGGCACCAUCCCCCCAAAAUCUUCAGACAUCCGCACCUUCCCGCACUGCAGGCGCUGUCUCUGUCUCUGUCCCGCGCCGUGGGUCGCCGCGCUCCGGAGUGUCACGUGACUGCUGAUCCGCGUUCAUGAGAGGUGUCCUCAGGGAGAGCGUGGAUUGUGAAGUCCCAGGUAAGUGGUGUCCUGCCUGGUUCUCUAGAGCUCAAGUCUGUGCAGGCUGCGAGGCCACAGGUGUUUAGCUUAUGAGGUGUGGGGAGAAAGUGCAGGUGAAGGCUGCUUCCCAGUGCCACCAGCUUUGUCCCCUUGAGCCGGCAGGCACAGGUCUGGGCCUGCUUCUGAGAGUCCCCAGUGAACGCCACUAUGAUGUUGAGAGGAAAACAGCAGUGUGCUGGAGUAAUGGACAGAGGGCUGCAUUUCAGAGUCAAACCUCCAUUCAUAUUCAGUGACCAGCUGUGUGUGCUUCUGUAAGCCUGAGUCUCCUGUCAGGUGUGCGGUAUUGGUACCACUUACUCCCAGUCUUUCAGAAGCCAGGGAUUCUCAGUAUUUGUGCUGUUAGUCUUCUCUCCAACUCUUGGCAGGGAGUGGUAAAUAAUCUCUGUAAAUCAGUGGUAGCUGCUGUAAUCUUAGGCUGAAAAUCUGGUCAUUGACUCGUCUGCACAUCUGUUCCUAGUUCACGCUCCCUCCCAGGAUGCUGGAAAACCUCUCUCCUCGGCUCACUCAUGGGCCCUUUCUGCACCUGCAUUCGAAAGUGAUCGUGGGCUGCCUGUGCCCUGGUCAUUGAUAGUGCAGGGAGAGCAAAUGCUGAAAGCCUUUCCCCGUGUUUGGAGGACCCAUCCUGUCCUUUUCAAACCCUGGAGCUUUCGUACACGCCAUCCUUCCUGCCAGUUUGUGUGACAUCCUGGUACCUGGCUCUGGGUGGCUCCCUGGGCACUCCUCUUGCCAAGCAGGGCCCUGCCUCAGGGAGUUGAUGUUAAUGGGUUCAUGGUCACUCCCCUCCUGGAAGCUUUCUUGGCCUCCCCAUUGCACCCCUUCCUGCAUUCUUGGCCCCGCCCCUCAGAAUAAUCACACCUGGAAAUUGGGGGCUUACUUCUCCUGCCCUGUGCUGUAAGCUUGAGGGCAUUGCCUGACUUGUAACACCUGGACAAAAACCCCAAACAAGGAGAUGGAGGUGACACAUGGUUGUGACGUGAUAGCGUUCAUCCAGUUGUGGAGUGUCUGGGGAACAAUGCCCUUGAGCAUACCCGCCUGCCGAGGCUGAGGCAGUCUCCUUUUCUUUUCCCACUGGAGUGCUGUUUCUCUACUGAGGGGUGGACUUAAUUACAGUCCCCCUUGAGUCCUGGCCGUGGGCAGGGCCCAUGGUCCACCGGGGGUGAUCUUCCUUCUGCCCUUAGCUUAAGAGACAGGGACUAGUAGUAAUUGAGCUGGGCAAAGCACAAUAUAGUUGAGAAUAUACAUAAAGCAGCCCUUACACUAGUUGGUGGACGUGGGGCCCUCCCACUGCUGGUUACCCCUCCCAGUCCAUUCUAGUCGCAGCCACUCAGCUAUGGCACUCUCCCCAAAACCAGGCCUCGGCAUCCUUUAACAGACUGAUUAGCAACAGACUGAUCACAGUUGGCACAUAGGAUAACAUGGAUGUUACUUCUGUCACAGGUGAUCUGCAGACCCCUUCCUAGAGUUAAAUUGUUCUUGUCCUAAGACAGUAGUAUGGCCAUUGAGGUGCCAGUAGUAACAGCCUGCAUUUGUGGGUGCUGUAAUCUGCCAGCCACUGCCCACCAGGGCCUGCUGUGAGUGCCCGUUCGUGCCUUGUCUCUUGCAGAUGUGUCUGCAGUGCAGAGGCUUCGUGGGAGACAUCGUCUUCAUAUCAGCCAGGUGCUAGACCCUGGGCCCUGCGGUAAGGUUUUGGGCCGUUCUCUGGAUUUGCGUGUGUCUCUAAAGUCAUGUGCAUUUUCCCUGGGGCUUUGGUGAUGAUGUGAGGAGAAAUGAGGUGGCAGGUGAACGUGGCAUCCCGUGAGUUCCCAGUUGUGUCCUGGCUGUGGGGCAGUCCCUCACGUGCCUAUAGGGGAGAGGCCUCUAGAAACUCACUUGGAUAGAGGGCUCCCUGGGCAUCUCCCUUCUGAGGACUGGGCUGUCAGCAGCGUGCUGUGUGGAAAGCACGUGGAUUUAGGCACCGGAGACUCUGGUUCCACCUCUGGGCCCGUGCAGCUCUGUGACCUAUUCUCAACCUCCAUUUCUUCACCUGAAAAGCAAAGCUGGGAUAGCAGAGAAGGUUUUUAAAAAAAUUUUCAUGGUGAUGUCGUGACCACAUGAUUCUGAUCAUUUCCAACCCAAAAGCAUUUCCAAUUUUUUACGCUGGAAGUGUCCCGGCUCCCUAUGGCAGGGAAGUUUUAUGGGGUCUUCACAGGACACAUCAGAAGCUACUGGGGCUCUCUGCUGGGCUGGGCCACUCUCCUCGACUCAGGCCAUGCCCCAGGUCCCUGGCACCAGCCUCCUGUCCUUUGUAGUUCUCUUUCUGUCCUUUUCUGCCCCUGCAUUCGAAAGUGAUUGUGGGCUGCCUGUGCCCUGGUCAUUGAUAGUGCAGGAAGAGCAAGUGCUGAAAGAUGUUUUCCCCGUGUUUGGAGGGUCCCAUCCGUCCCUUCCAAACCCUGAAGCUUUCCCACACUAGCUUUUCUCCUGCCCUUCCCCUCAGAGCUUGGGCCUUUGCUGGCCCCCAUGUGCUAUGGUGAGUGGUCUAGCCCCGUGACUUGUGGUUCACUUUGUCUUUUCAAGUUAAGGGUUGUCUUGUCAGAAACCAGUCUAUGCCUUUAUGUUUGGACCUCACACUGGAAUAAAUUCAGAUAGUGCUGAAGGGCACAAGUGCACACUGUAAAUCAUGGGUUCUGCUUUAUGAAUUUAUAGGAAUGGAGGAUAAUCCAUAAUAAUACAUUAUUCAAGACAGCUUGUGACCUAAAUGCUUGUUUGUGUGUCAUCUUUGCUCCUCUACUCUUUCUUGAGCACAACUUGUGUCCCUUCUCCAGGAGCUGUCAGUAAUGUCCAAUAAGUGGAGAAACAAAAAUAACGUUAGGGGCCAGGCGUAGGGGCAAAGAGGGAGUGAUUCAAUUCUGAGUCAGUAAAAAAAGUUCUCAUUUGUCACGGUCUGCCAGCAGCCCAGGGAGUUUUCUUGUCAGCCACUGAUGAGAGAGGAGUACGUUGACUUGCCAACCUGUUUGUAACCCUCCUUUCACUGACUUUUACUCUGUGCUCUUGUGGUUUGUCUUGAAAAGAGAAAGGGUCUCUUGACCCCAGGAGUUUAUUAGAGAAGAAGUUCUCAGGCCUGUGGACCCUUGAAAUCUGUAUUUGUAGACUCAGGACUCCCUAGCUUGCUUUCUGGCUCAUGUUAGUGAGAAUAUUGUGUUGCUGCUUGGGCUCCCUGCCAUGUAGUCAGGGAUCAGCAGGUAGGCUGACCUUCUGCCUUUCAUUCUGUGUGCUGCAGAGGUGUUCCGUGGGAGGCAGAACCCUGUGAAGGUACCUUCAUCUGUAGACUCAGAAGAUGCUCCACGGUGCUUCUGACAGUUGUGUCUUGGCUCCCGGGUAACAGGUGAGGCGAGGUUGGAGGUGAGGUCAAAGUAUCUAUCCCAUUGAUCCUCCACUUUUGGUCCCAUGGCUCCUGUCUGGUUCCCAAGUCCUCUUCUGUCUACAUUCAGGACUCUUGUCUUUGAGGAUGGGGUCCUGUAUUUUGUUCCAUCUCAUGAGACGUGGAGGCAGUGAGAAUAAUAUGUGUGAACUACCUGGUACUCUGUAGCCACCUGAGAGCCCCCUGGUCUUUCAGACCUGCCUUCUGCCCCUUUUACAUCAGAGGCUUGUCCUGUUCCACAGCCUACUUCCUGGUCCUGCAGCUCCUCAGCCAGUCUGGAGGGUUUAAUGGACAAUGACGGUUUUGAAAAGACAGUUUAUCUUCCCCGACCCCAGACCUGGUAAUGUAGACCUCGGUGUAGAGUCUUGUGGGUUGAAUUGCAGUUCACUUGUUUAAUGUCCUCAAGCAUUGAUGAUGUUUUCUUAUUUAUCCUUCAAAUGGGCCUGGCAGUCUUGAUCUUCAAAGAUCUGGGCACCUAACACAUCUUGCUGGAAGUUUACCUUUCAUUUGCCUUUCUUGAUGCGUCAUAUUAAGUGGGUCUUUGCAGAAUGGCGUGAUGGCUGCUGGGGCCUUGUGACAGGCUGGGCAGACAAGUAAUGACACUAUGGUAGGAGAGCUGCUGAGGAAGGUCUGUCCUUUUGAUCAAGAUGCAGUGGGACUUCAGUGUCAAAGCCCCUGACAGCACUGAGCUGUCUUCCUGUGAAUUACCCUGUCUGGUCAUGAACUGCUUGAAAGGAAGUCAUUUAUUAUAAAAACUAGACUUUUAAGAUGUAUUUCCUUUGUUACCCUUUCUAUUCUGGUGAUAGCUAGUUCGGCGUGCAUAAACUGGGAGCUUGGGUCUGGGUGACUGGGACUCUCAGUGAUGUCACUUGGGAAGAAGAUGGCGUUGGAGACUAAACGCUAGUAUGCAUCCUCUCCCUCCUAGGUCAGCCUUAUAUCCGGAGACUCUUGAAGGAAGUCCCAAGGCCAUGAGUCUGUGAUCCUCGGGGUGCCUUGAGAUCUGGGUUUGCUGAUAUUUCUCCCCUAGAUUCUCUUGGUGGUGGUCUUGGACACCAGAUGGGGCAGAGAAUGGAGAUUGAGGUCCCCACAUGAAGCGUCAUCAGAGCUCCUCCUCAUUGUCUGCUCAGAGCAUCAUGGAACAAGUGUUCAUUCUGCACAAGAGAUCAGAGGGAAAGCGCUGGGACUGGGGGCUUGGGGUCCACUUCAGCUGGCUCUGAGUCUUGAUACAGCAGUACCCUUAGAGGGCCAUGGACAGGGAAGGCCAGCCCCGUGUCCCUCUGCCAUGCAUGGAAUGACUUUAUUUUUUUUGAGGAAGAUUAGCCCUGAGCUAACUACUGCCAAUCCUCCUCUUUUUGCUGAGAAAGACUGGCCCUGAGCUAACAUCCAUGCCCAUCUUCCUCUACUUUAUACGUGGGACGCCUACCACAGCAUGGCUUUUGCCAAGAGGUGCCAUGUCUGCACCCGGGAUCCAAACAGGCGAACCCCAGGCCACGGAGAAGUGGAACGUGUGCACUUAAUCGCUGUGCCACCGGGCUGGCCCCAGGAAUGACUUUAAUAACCAAGAGUUUUUCUCUUGAAUUUGUAGCUACUCAUCACUUUCCUCUCCACUCCCCCAUUCAAUAAACCUUACACACUUCCUCCACCUGCCUUUUAAAUCAGUAACAAGCCACAUGCCAGCGAAGCUUGGCCUGGAGAAAGUGGGUCACAGACUAGAUCUUGUUUUCUGUCCUUGAGCCUUUCCUCUCGCACUCCUGAGGCUUGACACAUAGGCUGUUUUUUGAGGUGUUCACUUAGGGCCAGGAGGUGAACAAAUGCUGGUGGUUGGCUCAGAUUUAGGACCUGUGAGGGUUGAGAGUGUUGAGGAACAAGCCAGAGCUUUGGAAGGGUGGCCUGGAGGGAGACAAGUGCUGGUGUCAUCUGGGGAAGCUGGGAUGUCCUGGAGUUCUGGAGCCUGGCUCAUGAGUAAAUGCCUGCUUGUGUGACCAUCUGUCCUAGUUUGCUUGGAAUUGAGGGGUUUCCCAGGAUGUGGGAGUUUUCGUUGCUGAAACCAGGAAAGUCCCAGGCACACUGGGACAAGUUGGUCAGCUUAUCUAAGGUGUAAAAUACAUGGUGUCAACUUCAGAGGACAAGUUACUGUGUAAAGAUGGGAGCAGGGUGAGCACGGAGCAGCUCCCAUUGGUGGACAUUGGGAAUGUCCUCAAGGUCAGGCUCUUGGAGAUAAUUGGAGUAAAAUCAAUAAUUGCAACAGUGUGAUAAUGUGCUAAGGAUGUGCGUGCAUGAACUCUUUAAUCCCCAUUUUACAGAUGGAGGGGUCUAUAUGAAGGAAUGUGUCCCAAAGGCCAUGAUGAAAGGCUGGAGUUAGUUGUCCAACUGAAACCACUUUGGCUGAGCUGAGGCGGAGUUCUGCCUGGGAAGCCUUCCUUGAUGAGUUUGCCACCUUCAUGGUCUUCUCUGCUGGAGCAGGCAUUCUUCGUGGCUGAAAUGUUCACUCUGCCAGCCAGUUCCCGGCAGACGCAUCCAGAAGUCAAAAGUCCUUUUUCUACCUCGCCCCGAGGACUAUCCUCUGACUUCUGUUUGCCACCUUUAGUCAGCUGGUUGUAGCUGCCUAGAAAGGUGCCGAGAGAAGGGAUCUGGGUCCACUUGAGAAAGCUGUGACUGGUUGUUCAUGUGUGUUGCACACGUUUGUUUUUGAGCCGGACACCAAGCUAGAAAUAGGGGUACAAUAGUGAAUAAGAGUUUCUGCCCUCAAGGGAAUCACCAAUAAGUAUAUAGGUAACGUGUUCAUAUACCAAACGUUUAUGGAACAUGCCCUGCUGCUGUGCACUGCUGUAGGUGUUGGGGAUACAGCUCUGAACAAAAGAGGUUGCCCCACAGACCUUGUUUACAGCUGCUGUCCCUUAUGGUAAGACACUAGCCGUGUGUGGCUAUUUUUUUUUUUUUGAGGAAGAUUAGCCCUGAGCUAACAUCUGCUGCUAAUCCUCUUUUUGCUGAGGAAGGCUGGCCCUGUGCUAACAUCUGUGCCCAUCUUCCUCUACUUUAUAUGUGGGACGCCUACCACAGCAUGGCAUGCCAAGUGGUGCCAUGUCCACACCUGGGAUCUGAACUGGCGAACCCCAUGCUGCCAAAGUGGAACAUGUGCACUUAACUGCUGUGCCACCAGGCUGGCCCCAUGUGUGGGUAUUUAAAUUGAUUUAAAAGUUUAAAAUUCAGGUCUUCAGUAGCCCCAGCCAGAUUUCAAGUGCUCAAUAGCCACAAGUGGCUGCUGUGUAGGACAACACAAUACGUAAAGUAUUUCCCUCAUUGCAAGAUCAGACAGCGCUGAUCUAGAAGAUAAGGAGUUCAAGGCUAAUUCUGUGAAAGAAGAGUGUCGCUGGGACACUUACAGGAAGGCUGUCAUCUGAGGAGUCCAAAGAAGGCUGGUGUGCCCGAUGCCGGGUCCCUGCCGAUGAGGGUGGUUAUGGUUAUGUGGGUGCGUAAGGCUGGGGCAGUGGCUUGGAGGGGGUGUGAGAUCACUGGCUUUAGAGUCGCACAGACGAGGUCUAACCCAGCUGGGUGACAUAAGGCAGGUUUCCAUCACCUGACCUCAGUUUCCUCUUAUAAAAUAAGGACUAUAGGAACGUGUUGAGGUAAGGAUUAAACAGGCUGAUGUCUAUAAAAACCUGUGUGGUGUGUGCCUUCAGGAAGUGUUAGUAAUUGAUAGCUAUUUAUUGAAGGUUCCUCUGCACCAUACCAAGAUUGGUCUUUUUGAAUUUUUUUUUCUUGUCUUGGGGGCUUUUGGGGUAUAAUCCCUAAUGCUGAAGUUUCCAGGAAAGUAAAAAUAGUUCCCCUCCUUUUACAGUAUAAGAUUUGUGUAAUGUACUGAUUAGUAGAUAUUUAGAAGCAUUUACCCCCAAAUUAGAGGAUAUAUGGUAUUCUCAAGCAUAUAAAGAGCAUUUACAAAUACUUCUUAUGUUCUAGGUUACACAACAAGUCAUGAAUACCGAAGAAUCAGAGUCAUACUACAUUUGUACUACAAUAGAGUUAAGGACCAAAAAAAUUUUUAAAAAAGCAGGUUUGAAAAAAUGCUUGUGUUUGGGAAAUUUUAAAACGUGUUUGAAAAUAACUCAUCAAUGAUACCAUAAGGGGAGUUAGAGAAUAACUGUAACUGAAUGGUAAUGACAAUUUGUACGUACCAAAACUUGGGGGAUGUAGCUAAGGGAAUUCCUCAGGAGAAGUUAUCCUUCACAUGCUUAGUGUAGAAGAAAAGCUGAAAUUUAGUAAGUAAUAAAAAAGAAAAUAGAAGUAAUGAGAAUAAAAAUGAGAGCAGAAACUCAAGCAGAAGGCAAAAACAAUAAUGAAGAUCAACAUGGCUAAAAGUUGGUUUUUUGAAAAGACAUGAAACUGAUGAAAGAAUAAUUUUAGGAAGGGAAAAGGACAUAGGACAGAGCUGUGAUUAAAAAGUUGGAGAAUAAUAUAGAUUACUUUCUACCUAUAAAAAUUUAAACUGACAAAGUGGACACCUCAAAACAUCAAACAAAAUUGCCGCAAGGAGAAAUGGAAAACUUGAAUAGUCUGAUAAAAACCCACAAGGGACAGUUCAGUCAGAAAGCCUUUUGCAACAUGGACUUUUUUUGUCAUUGUUAAAGCUGUGACUUUCUGACGAGAAAUCUUUGAUCCGUCCUUUAAUAGACAUAUGACCAAAAAAAAGUCCCAUUGCUGGAGACGAUGAACAGUCCAUUUGGAGGAGUGUAAAGGGACCCUGAAGCUUUGGCUUCAGACUCUAAAGUUUUGUCAGAAUUCGGUUGUAAACGGGACAUGCAUGAGAAACAUCAUUUUCAGGCCUUUAAAAUUUCCCUACCAAUGUUUAAGGUGGCAGCCACUUACCCCUACUAAAGCGCUGAGACUGAGCAGCUCCCACUAAUGUAAUCAGAGUGGAAGAGGGGGAGAACCUCUCUUGAGGAAUAGGUUUCUGAGGAUGUGAGGGCUUACCUUGGAGUACGAACGUGAACAGUGAAGACAUUGAUGGACUAGUAGCUCUGGGUUUAUAUGAUAAAGUGCUCUGUGAUUGUCACUGAUACACAAGGAUGUUGAAACCUCGGAACAAUCAUGGGACAGUUACUGCCUCAGUCUUUUUGCUUGGACAUAACUGUUUGAAAAGUACAAAAUUAUGGAAAUGUUUUUAUAUGAACAUAGUUUAUACAUAAUUAACUCGGGAAGAUGGACCGUCUCUUUUGUCAGUUUUGUGUUUUUUAUCCUAAAUUUGGUAAACAAAAACUGUCACAAUUUUGGGUUGGAGAAUACUAAAAUCUAAUUUUAUCUUUCAUCCUUUUUAAGAUGAAGGAGCAGAUCUUUGUUUACCUGGUGGCCAUUCAAGGAAACCGAAAGAUAGUUUAGGCAUAAAAGGCAUUUUAAUCACUUUAUUAUUGUGAGUUUGGGAAAGGGAAAGUCAAGAAGAACUGUAAGAGGAGACAAAAUGUGAACAUGUCACAAUUUUUCAAUGUAAAAACAUUAUUAUAGACAAAAUUUUUUAAAAAUCACAGCAAAAUAAACCUGGCUAUUUAGAAACUUAACUUUUUUAAAAAAUAAGAAACUUUUUUGUUAAAAUGAAUCAAGAGUAUCCCAGAUGUAUAGUUAACAAUAGCUGGUUGACAAAGAGAAGUCUGUGGGCACAGAAUAAUAAUCAUUUUACAAAAAGAACCGAAAUUCUAGUUUUUUUUGUGUGCCAAUCAUGUAACGAUGCAGUAAAGGAUUUAUAAACCCUUUUCAUUAUUAAUAAAUCCAUUGAGCCAAC